UUUUACUACACUUCUACGACA
rnacentral:piRNA from 1 species